UCCGAGUUCACAACUUCAAUAAUAUGUAUUUUUUCGUAUAUUCGGUGGUCAAUUAGUAUGUUUCUUUCAGGCACAUUCUUGUUGUAUGCAAGUGCAAGUGGUGUGGCAAUAUGGUUUGUAGCCAAGUUGGUUCCUGAAACUAGAGGAAGAACCCUUGAAGAAAUCCAAUCUUCUUUCACUCACAAGUGAACCAAGGAAGACAAAAGUUUAAGGAUUGCUUGUACGACAAGUUUCAUAUACAGGAUUGCUUGUAUAACAAGUUUCAUGUACAUUGUAUAGUACACAACAAUGUAAGUAUGAGUUAAAUACUAAGUCUUGUUCAAGCUUAAGUAACACAUUGGAGUGUAGCUCAAGCAAUGUAUAAUAAGAAUGUCAAAUAUGAGUCUAAUAUAUGUAUAUGUUUAUGUAUGUAUAUAUNNNNN
rnacentral:lncRNA from 1 species